GCCUUUCUCUUUACUACUGAGAACAGAAUGAAACCGGAAAAGAAAAGAAGGAAGAAAAGAAAGAAGAAAGAAGAAGAAGAGAGACGAAGAAGACGAAGAAAAGAAGAGAAGGAAGAAAAGAGGAGGAGAAAAGAGAAAAGAGAAGAGACCGAAUGCCAUCUUAAAAAUCCAGCAAGAAGAAGAGGAGAAAAAGCAGAAGAAGAAGAAGAAGAAAAGAGAAAGAGGAAGAAGAAGAAAGAGAAAUUAAGGAAUAGAAUUAACAUACCUUGGAUCGAGUGUAGCCACAGAUGUCGAGGCCACAUUCUUUGUGGCAUACUAUUUUCACAUGAUGGGAAUUGGAGCUAAGGCAGGACUGGACUUUAGCAACGGUUGUGAAGCUUGUGUCGGCAAGAUGUCAAGAUUUUAUGCGCUUCAAUAUUAUUUAGUUCUUCCCUCUUGAUGUAUAUAUUUAUGGAUGUGUAGAAAGUAGUAUUGUAGCCUGUGGUGUUUUUCACACAUGCAGUUUGUAUAAUGUAAUUUAUCACUUUAGUACAUCACCAGUGAUAUUUAUGAGAUUUUAUUAGCA